AAGGACAGGCAGAUAAAAGGGUAAACAUGAUAACAAAAACUAUCUCCAGCACACUUGACUCUGUCAAAUCCUGAGCACAGCGCGACUCUUUGAAACAAGAAUCUCAUUAAGGAAGGGAGAGUUGAAAGGAUAAGCCCCCGCAUACCAAAGGCAGAAAUCAGAUGUGCUUGACCUUUCAAAUGAAUGUACAUUUUCUGAGUGACUGUUCAUGUCAGAGUAAUUCAAACAGACACCUGAUAAUCCUCUUAAAAGACUGAAAUUUGGAUACUGGAUUGAGCACAAUGCAGUGGGAUCUGCGGGUGGUCUCGUUGCUGUGCUCUGUCCUGCCCUUGCUCCCAAUUUCCUGAUGCACCCUCAAGUCUUGUCCCCUCCCUGGGCUUUCAUGUCCCCACACACUCAUAGGAGAUAUUUUAAGUCCAGGAUUCAUUAACAAGGAAGCAUCUUCUGUGCUGGCACAGCUGGAAAUGAAAAGCCGAUGUUCCUUAACACAAAUUAGGUGAUUAAACACUUUGGAUGGAAAAGAGGUGCCCCAACAGCAAGGGAAGAGGGGGAUUUUCUUCCAGACUGUCUCCAUAUACAAAUCCAAGGACCAUGAACCCCACCUGGAUCCUUAACUCAUGUACUGGGGCUUGCUGAGAAAGAAAAACCCUCAACUGAGGCAUGAGUAUUCACAGAAAGUCCAGCAGCUUCACAGGGAAACCUUCACACGGUGAAAGGCUGCAGAUGGAAAUGUUCACUAAGCCAAGAAUGUAUUAAUUACACCCCAAAGGCUGUUAAUGAACACAGAGAGUGACUGAAAGGUUUCCUCAUGGACAAUGUUGCUGGAGAGGUCACCAGAAUGAGGUCCAGGAGUCCGCUUGAGUCACCUUCCCUUCAGUUUUUGGAUGCCCUGGUCAGAUCUAGUGACCGUCCUUGAACUUCAGUUCCGUUUACCACCAACGAUUUCUGGGCCUUGCUUACCACAUCCACUUGUUCAGCACAACAAAUUCUGUCAAACCUUAGAGAUCACUGCUCCUAGGGAGUCAAUAACCCAACAGACACUGGAGAAAAAGGGGGUUUUAGUGUCUAUUUAUGGCCUGUGUCUAUGAGCAACCCCACAGAGUGACUGACCAUGCAGUGACUAACACCAGAAUUCUUUUGAUAACCCCAAAAAUCAGUAGCAUAGCAUUUCCAGUGGAAUCCUGUGGUGUUUUAUGACCUGUAAGGUGUUUCAUGACCAGUCUCCUGCUGAUGUCACAGCAACAUCAGCCCCAGCCGUGGCAGCACACACAGGCUGCUGGCUCCUGCGUACAGAUGUCCGUGCUGGACAGUUCCGGCUCCUGGAGGAGCAUAUCCAUUGCUGGAGGGAUGGAGGAUGCAGCUCCAGCCAGGGGGAAGGGUGGGACUGGGGGGCUGCUCUGCUUCCAAGUCAGCCCCCAAACACACAGGACAGGCUGUAAAGAAAUCUCUUGGAAAAGUCAGAUGUGAGGGUGUCAACCAGCUCAUUUCACAGGAGAUGGACUGGAGCACACUGCCCAUGCAGUGACACUCCAGGGAACUGCCUCUCUCUGUCCCACUCCUUCUGAUUCCAGGAAACAAAGCUCAUUUUGUGGUGUCCCAAACAAAGCUCCAAAGAACCACAAAUUCAAGCUCCAAACCAGCAGCAGGCUCCCUGAGCAGGCUGAGCCCUGCUGUUUCCAAGCCCCUGUCACCACAACACCUGGGCUCCAUCCCUGACAGGAUUCCUGUUUCUCCAGUGGCUCUCUGAAGGCCAUGCAAGGAAAGCUCUGCAGACCUUCAGGGUGGUCACAGCACCAUGAGCCACUCGGGUGUCCCGCACGUGGGAAGGACACGACAUUCCUUCCAUAGAUGUCACCAUCAGCUGGCCCUGGCACUGGCAGCCCAGCAAACCCCGAGCCUGGAGAGCAGCAGCAGAGCUGGGGUCAUCAGUCACAGAGCUGUGCUAUAGGCAGCCUUAAAUCCCAGGUCUACCUUCCCAUCGAUCUCUUCAGCUCCGUGAAAUUAAGAAAAACGCAAGACAAACACAAGCGAACGUCCCCGAGCAGGCUCUGUGAGAGGCAACCAAACAGCUCCAAUUCCCCCAGCUAGGCUGGGGCAGUGCCUGGCUGGGAAAAACAAAACCCAAUUCCAGCCAGAAUGCCAAUCUCAGCUUAAACAUCCCCCCUGGAGCCUCAAGAAGAGGACCUGCAGCAGUGUCGGCACCCACGAGCACCUCCAGGGCUUUUGGGGGAUGCAGCAGGAGAGGGGCUGCAAAUCCCUUUGCCAUUGAGUAAAUCUGUCAUCAAAUGUGGCAAGAAAUGACAAGGAACACCUGGAAGAUUUCCUUCCUUCUACAAAAAUCACUUCCCAGAGUAGAUGUGGACUUUAAGGAUUAAAUGUGCCUGAACAACUCAACACAA